GGGGAUUCCUCUUUAGGAUUCAACCAGAGGAAUUCUGUGGUGCUUGGAUGGUGCACAGGUGAAAGCUGAGGUGUCCACUUUUUCUGGAAAAGAAAGAAAAAGAGUGGUGCCGCCAGCGGGCAUUACCGACCUUUUGCUGUGUUCCGAGCCGAACGACCCGC